UACGUAGGGUGCAAGCGUUAAUCGGAAUUACUGGGCGUAAAGCGUGCGCAGGCGGUUAUGCAAGACAGAUGUGAAAUCCCCGGGCUUAACCUGGGAACCGCAUUUGUGACUGCAUAGCUGGAGUAUGGCAGAGGAAGGUGGAAUUCCACGUGUAGCGGUGAAAUGCGUAGAGAUGUGGAGGAACACCGAUGGCGAAGGCAGCCUUCUGGGCCAAUACUGACGCUCAUGCACGAAAGCGUGGGGAGCAAACAGG
rnacentral:rRNA from 1 species